rnacentral:rRNA from 1 species
UCCAGACUCCUACGGGAGGCAGCAGUGGGGAAUAUUGGGCAAUGGGCGCAAGCCUGACCCAGCAACGCCGCGUGAAGGAAGAAGGCUUUCGGGUUGUAAACUUCUUUUGACAGGGAAGAGUAGAAGACGGUACCUGUCGAAUAAGCCACGGCUAACUACGUGCCAGCAGCCGCGGUAAUACGUAGGUGGCAAGCGUUGUCCGGAUUUACUGGGUGUAAAGGGCGUGCAGCCGGAGAGACAAGUCAGAUGUGAAAUCCACGGGCUCAACCCGUGAACUGCAUUUGAAACUGUUUCCCUUGAGUGUCGGAGAGGUAAUCGGAAUUCCUUGUGUAGCGGUGAGAUGCGUAGAUAUAAGGAAGAACACCAGUGGCGAAGGCGGCCUGCUGGACGAUGACUGACGUUGAGGCUCGAAAGCGUGGGGAGCAAACAGGAUUAGAUACCCCUGUAA